UCCCAGGAGGCUCAGUGGUAAAGAAUCCGCCUGCUAAUGCAGGAGAUGCAGGUUCAAUCCCUGUUUUGGGAA
rnacentral:tRNA from 1 species